ACAUGAAUAUGGUCUAAGGUUGAAUAGC
rnacentral:sRNA from 1 species